AGAAAAUGAAAACUCAUAGAUAUCUUUAAACUAAUUGGAUACCUUAUAAAGAUUAUAGCAAAUGGGUGUGGUAUUUUUAUGUGGCAACAUAAGAAUUUUAGCCAUCAAACUAGCACUAUUCUACAGUAAUGUUGAAGGUGGAUGAAGUAUAUCGAAUGAGUUUAUGUUGCACAGAAUACAAAAAGUGGAAGGCUGAAUAAAAAACAAGCUCCUGUUCAAGUGACCUCACUGCUUUCUGAUGACCCCCACUGGCUAUGCCACAUUUCUGGUGCUGAAUGGAUGCACAACACGUCCGUACUCAUCUGGGCUUCGAUGCAGUUGUUCAAUUUGAAAAGUAAAGCAGUACUUUAAUGGUCCCUUCAGUUCUCACACUCAGUGUUUCAAUAUUUGUCCUGUUCUACCUGGCUUGUAAUCAAUCCUAAAACUUCCUCACAUUUCCAGAUGAUGGAAUGAACAAUCCUGCGUAUGGCUUCCAAACUGAAAACUCAGAACUUAAGGCUCUGGUCUGAAGUGGCCACAGUUCAUCUCUGGCCUUGACAAGCCAUUUGUUGGCCGUGGAACUCAUUACUUGAAAGAGAUUUGCUACAGCUCCCGUUAUGGUGCCUUUAGAAGAAAUAAAGAUCUCCUGCCUCACUUCCAAUA
ensembl:lncRNA LINC01924 long intergenic non-protein coding RNA 1924